CCCACAGAGUUCUACUCUCAGGAUCCAAAGUGGAUUGAAGAAGUCUCCAAUUGCCCUUAAGAAGCUCUGGGUGGGGAGCCUGGGCGGGAGCAGGAGCGGAACCAUUACCCCAGAGAAUUCUGCCUGGAGCCAAAGCAAGUGGGAAAAGGUCACCUCAUCCACCAUGUCUUUAGGCAGAACUGAUUCAGCACACACCAACAUAGAAGACUUUUAUUAAAGUUCCCAGCAUGGUGUGCCCUCUCUCUGCCUCUUUGCAUCCUACCCAUCCUUCACCACCUCGCCACUCCAUAAAGACCUCUCUGAUCACACCAGUCUGCAGCGAUUUCACCCUGCUCUGAACACAUAAGCGCUCAUUAUCUGCACCACUCAUUUUGCAAUUAAUCGUGUACUGCCUUGCGACAUCGCUUCCAGUGCUCUCUCCAACUGUUAUCCAACUUCUCACCUGCUGAUGGACGGAAACUUUGAGGACAAUAUGAGUGACUGGACAGCAGGAGCUACAGCACCUACAUCUGUGUCCCUAACAUUACCUGGCAGAGGCCUCAACACAAACAUGCAUACCUCAAUUCUACCUCCUCUGAUGAAACUUACCCCAGGCGUCUGGCUCCCACCUGAGAUUGCAGGAAUCUUCAAGCCUUAACAUAUCUACUGGGGCCUCAAGAUGCAGCAGGCCCUCAGAGAGCCAUCCCAACCAUAAGCUCCUGGAGAGCCCCAGGAAAUGCACACAUCUUCAUCCCACCCACGUUCUUAUGAAGUAGUUUGUCUUCUCCUUCAUUUAAAAAAUGAAGAAACUCUCCACUCCCACUGCUUCGCUUGACUAACAUUUAAAAAAAAAAAAGGAGAAACUGAGACCUAUAAAUUUUAUCAAAACCCUGAGCCUUGAAAAAAUAUAUAUAUAUAAUAAAUAAACAAAUAGA